rnacentral:rRNA from 1 species
AUUGAACGCUGGCGGCAGGCCUAACACAUGCAAGUCGAACGAGUGGCGGACGGGUGAGUAAUGUCUGGGAAACUUCCCGAUGGAGGGGGAUAACUACUGGAAACGGUCUCUAAUACCGCAUACCAUCGGAUGUGCCCAGAUGGGAUUAGCUAGUAGGUGGGGUAAAGGCUCACCUAGGCGACGACCCCUCGCUGGUCUGAGGGGAUGACCAGCCAAACUGGAACGGAGAAAAGGUCCAGACUCCUACGGGGGGCGGAAGUGGGGAAUAUUGCACAAUGGGGGAAAUCCUGAUGCAGCCAUGCCGGGUGUAUGAAGAAGGCCUUCGGGUUGUAAAAUACUUUCAGCGAGGAGGCGGUACUCGCAGAAGAAGCACCGGCUAACUCCGUGCCAGCAGCCGCGGUAAUAC